CUGUCUUAGAGUUGUUACUAAGACAAAAAAAAAAUAAGGUAGUUUUUUUUAAGAGAAUUUUUUCUUCUUCUCAGAAAUGAGACAGAAUGAAACAAUCUUUCCCAAAGAAGGCUGACUUAUGGAAAGACGAUCCGAUGUUAAAACAUUCUAUUAGGAAUCAUCCUUUUAUCAUAGUGCCUAGGGUUUCCACACCUGAAAAUCUAAUAUUUUAGGUUAUAUUUUUUAAGAUGCAGUAAAAUAGAGAUGUUCCCAAAAAGGAUGACAUCACACCCUGAUGAUUUGAAGAAAAGUUUUCAGGAAGAUUCUCAAGGACAAGCAGGAACAACAUUUGAAAGUUAUGGUCACUGGAUUUCUAUUUUUGCCUGUGUUGAAGUGGGCAGUUCUAAAAAAGAUUCUGAGGAGGCAAGAAAGAUUCUCAGAAGAUUUGGGGGGCACACAUUUCACUUUCUCCUCCAAUCUAAAAGGCCCAAGCAAUUCACUCAAGAUUCAUACCUUCUUACCAGCAGGACAUAUAUGGGUCAUCCUUCCAUCAGUGGUCAUUUUCUCCUCUAAGGGGACUAUAGUUUCAAAAAGCACUUCCCACUGCCUUUGGGACUCCUCUCAAACUCACAUGGUAUCUGCCAAAGCUAAGAACUUAUUUCUCAGGGUUGUUUUUUGGUCACCUGGGGUCAGAGAAAGAAUCACAUAACAGAAGAGGCAAGCAAGGCUUUGACAUUCAAUCCCAGGCUCAGUCAGGCAUUCACACAUACCCACUGCCAUAUGUGUACAGCUGCUAUAAUAGCUUCUGGGAAGAGGGAAGGGAAGAAAAAUGUCCACAACUGUACUUACUGGAAUUCCAUGGAAAUACUGAGGUGGGCUGCGUUUUAUGGGCUGCCAGUAAAGAGGAAGGACCUUUCUUCCCCAUUCCUUAACUAGCCCUGUGUGGAUUGCUUCGAUCAGUCAUCAAAUUACCUUUGACACAAUAUACAGUAAAGAAGACUGAAAAAGGAUUCAUCUGGAAGCCCCAGUUCUUCAACACCAAACCAGAUAAUUCAUAUAGCCAGAAUGUACAGAGGGUCAUCCCGAUUCCCAACCAUAGUAUUAAAAAAAAUACAAAAAAAAAAGAAAGAAAGAAAGUUAGGCGGGAAUCAAAGAAGUCAAGGAAGACUUCAUGGUAGAAGGUGAAAUUGAACUAAAAUUCUGAAGGAUACGCAGUUGGCAAAUAAACAUUUAUUAAGAGCCUACA
rnacentral:lncRNA from 1 species